UUGGAGGAAUGAAUAGUGAGAGCUACUUGCAUUAACAUAGGGUUAGUGCAAGAUCGAUUCUCUCGAAUAAAAUUCUAGGUAGAGUUUUGAUAAUGACAUUAUCUAUCUAUGUGUCUUGACCAAAUCACGUGCCAGCAGUCGCGGUAAUACGUGGAAGACUAGUGUUAUUCAUCUUUAAUGGGUUUAAAGGGUACUUAGACGGUAAAUCAAGCCAAAAAGGGGCACUAAUAUACUAGAGUUUUAUGUGAUGGGGUAAAAAAGUACUAGUGGAGUAGAGAUGAAAUUCUGUCAUACCAACUGGGAAACAGGUAAAGGCGAAGGCGACCCUUUAUGUAUAAACUGACGUUGAAGGACGAAGGCUUGGGUAAUGAACAGGAUUAGAUACCCCAGUAGUCUGAGCAGACAAUGAUGAGUGUCAUAGAAUGGAUUUAAUUAUUUUUUCUAUAAAUGAAAGUGUAAGCAUUCCACCUCAAGAGUAAUUUGGCAACAUAGAAACUGAAAUCAUUAGACCGUUUCUGAAACCAGUUGUGAAGUAUGUUGUUUAAUUUGAUGAUCCGCAAAAAACCUUACCACAGUUUGAAUAUUUAUUUACAAGCGUUGCACGGCUGUCUUUAGUUAAUGUCGUGAGAUUUUGGUUAGUUCCAUAAAAUUAACGUGAACCCAUACUUUAUUUAUUAUAAAGUAGUUCCCCGCUAUAUUGGAUAUGAUAAUAGGGAUUAAGACAAGUCAUCAUGACCUUAAUAUUGUGG
rnacentral:rRNA from 1 species